UUCCUUCAGUCGCCUUGUUUUUCCUCUCCACAGGGCACGGGUGAAACCCUAGAUCGCUCCUCCAAUCCCCGGGCCUCAUUUCCACCCAAUCCCCGUUUCUCCUCUCUCCUCCUCUCCAAUGGUGGCGCGCCGCUCUCCCCGGCAUGGAGACGGACGGGAGACCGCACGCAGGCGGGCUUCCGUGCGGCGGCGCUCAUCGGCUGCGCACGGCGCCCUUGGCCGCCGCGACCUGCUCGCGCCUCCCCGACGCCGGCGGCCUCCCUGCGCAUCCUCCUGCUGGAGGCGAGCUGCAGGAGAGCAGACGGGGCCGGACGGGACGGCUGCCGUGGCGGACGAGAGGAGGCACUGCAGGAGCAGGUUCCGGAGGAGGGCCCCGGCGGCGCCAGCGGAGUCCUCGCUCGUGACUUCCUUUCAUCUCCCCGCGGCGGUUGGUGGUGCAGAGAAAGGCAACGAGCCGCGGGAGCGCACCACGCGCGUGCAGCUCGUCCACCAGCGGCGGCGGCGACACGCACGACGCCCAUGCCCCUCCUUCUCAGCGCCUUUUCGUCCCCGUUAGGCAAGUUAGAUGACAGACAGCAGCAAUGCCUCCAAUAGAGGCCUCAAGCAGGUCACAUGUAGGUGUCUAUUCUUUAUUGAUGUGCAGCCGCGGCUUGGAAUGUUGUAUUUGGGUGGCGGAAGAUUCCUACGAC